rnacentral:rRNA from 1 species
AUACGGAGGAUGCAAGCGUUAUCCGGAUUUAUUGGGUUUAAAGGGUGCGUAGGCGGGACUGUAAGUCAGGGGUGAAAUACUGCAGCUUAACUGUAGCAUUGCCUUUGAAACUGCCGUUCUUGAGUACAGUUGAGGUAGGCGGAAUGUGGUGUGUAGCGGUGAAAUGCAUAGAUAUACCACAGAACGCCGAUUGCGAAGGCAGCUUACGAAGCUGUUACUUACGCUGAGGCACGAAAGCGUGGGGAUCAAACAGGAUUAGAUACCCUGGUAGUCCACGCUGUAAACGAUGAUUACUGGUUGUUAGCGAUAUAUAGCUAGUGACUGAGCGAAAGCAUUAAGUAAUCCACCUGGGGAGUACGUCGGCAACGAUGAAACUCAAAUGAAUUGACGGGG